rnacentral:rRNA from 1 species
GACGAACGCUGGCGGCGUGCCUAAUACAUGCAAGUCGAACGCAGUGGGGACGGGUGAGUAACCCGUGGGUAACCUCCCAUCAGAGGGGAUAACACUUGGACACAGGUGCUAAACCGAUACUGAUGGAUGGACCCGCGGUGAAUUAGCUAGUUGGUGAGGUAACGGCUCACCAAGGCCACGAUGCAUCGCCGACCUGAGAGGGUGAUCGGUAACACUGGGACUGAGACACGGCCCAGACGCCGACGGGAGGCAGCAGUAGGGAAUCUUCGACAAUGGAAGAAAGUCUGACCGAGCAACGCCGCGUGAGUGAAGAAGGUUUUCGGAUCGUAAAACGCUGUUGUUUGAGAAGCGGUAUCUAACCAGAAAGCCACGGCUAACGGCGUGCCAGCAGCCGCGGUAAUUC